GUGAAUCAUCGAAUUUUUGAACGCAAAUUGCACUCUCUGGUAUUCCGGAAAGUAUGCCUGCUUGAGGGUCAGUUAAUUAAAAAUCGGAGUUGUUGCUGCCUUUCGUGGUGACGCGUCGGAAUUGUGUAGUCUUACUCUCGGAUAAGCUAUUAUAAAUAUUUGUAUGAUUUUCAAUGGUAUUUAAAACGUUUAUG
rnacentral:misc_RNA from 1 species